GCCAGGGGCACAUUGUGACUCAGACCCUCACUCAUUGGCACAAAGAAGCUACAGAAUAGUUAUAUAAACAGAGGCAGUGCGCCAGCCUGGGAAAACUCCCAGCCUCCCUUUGGCCAUAGAGUAAGCAAAACAAAUGGCUUCACUGGCCCCAUCUACCCACUUGACUUAGGUCAGUAUUCAGCCUAAAUGUUUUAUUUCCUGAGAGGCUGGAAUCUGUAUUUGUGGUAUCAAUCAGUCAACUGAAAUUUAUUAAAUGCCUGCUGUGAGCAAGGCCUAAUGCUGAGGGAUGUAAAGAAGAGUGAGAAGCUAGUCUGGUUGGGGUGAUAUGACAUGGCAAGUCAUAGAAUGAAGAAGCGUAUUCCUUGUCAUAUGAAAGCUGCAGAUUAGUGUGGUUCUAAGUAGAGGCCAGGGUCACUGGAGUCUAGGAUUGCAGGGUUGGCUGGCUUCCCAGAGGCUAAGAAUUUAAUUUGGAUCUUGAAGAUCUGGUCCAAUUCCAACAGGUGAGAGGCAUAGGAAACAUUUAAGGAAAAGGACAUUCUGGGAGCUGAAGGGCAGAGGUCAGUGGAUUUGGAGCUAUAUUAGUAUUUUUUAAAAGUGUCUACAUGGUACCAAAUAUCUGUAAAUAUAUUGCCUGUUAGCCUACAACAACCUGUGUGGCUGGUGUUAUCCUCAUUUGAGGCCCAGAAGGAUUAAGUAGCUUGCUUAUGGCCAUAUAGCUGAUUUGAAGACUAAUACUCUACCCUAAACAGAGAGUAUCUCAUUGGAUUAGAGCAGAUGAAUCUGAAGAAGAAAAUAAAGGGAGUUGAUGUUGGAUGGGUAGAUUGAAGACAGAUUACAGUUUGUUCUGGCUAUUGAACCUUGCUCAAAUUGUUUAACUUCACUGAACCUCAGCUUUCAAGCCUGGAAAAUUAAGAUUAUACCAACCUCAUUGGGGUUAUUAUGAGGAUUAAAAUGUAGAAUGUAUAUAAAGCACUUAGCACAUGGACUGACGUAUAGUAAGCAUACUUAGUGAAAUAGAAGCAUUUUUUAAAUUUCAAAACUGAGGAAGGUGGAUUUUACCUUGGG
rnacentral:lncRNA from 10 species